CCAGAGGGUCGGGCGGCCGCGGCCUGCAGCAAUGCGGGGCGAGGAAAGUCCGGGCUCCACGGAACAACGGUGCCGGAUAACGUCCGGCGGGGGCGACCCCAGGGAAAGUGCCACAGAAAGCAUACCGCCGCUCUUCGGUGCGGUAAGGUCGAAAGGGUGCGGCAAGAGCGCACCGCGGGCCCGGCAACGGGAACGGCAUGGCAAACCCCACCGGGAGCAAGACCGAAUAGGGGCGGCAUGGUGGCCUUGUUCCGGCCGGACCGCCCGGGUUGGUUGCUUGAGGGGCGGAGCGAUCCGCCUCCUAGAGGAAUGGCCGCACAGUCUUCGCGAAAGCGGGGAUGGACAGAACCCGGCUUAUAGACCCUCUGGCUUG
rnacentral:RNase_P_RNA from 1 species